GAUGAAGAACGCAGCGAAAUGCGAUACGUAAUGUGAAUUGCAGAAUUCAGUGAAUCAUCGAGUCUUUGAACGCACAUUGCGCCCUCUGGUAUUCCGGAGGGCAUGCCUGUCCGAGCGUCAUUGCUGCCCUCAAGCACGGCUUGUGUGUUGGGCCCCGCCCCCCGAUCCCGGGGGGCGGGCCCGAAAGGCAGCGGCGGCACCGCGUCCGGUCCUCGAGCGUAUGGGGCUUUGUCACCCGCUCUGUAGGCCCGGCCGGCGCCUGCCGAUCAACCAAACUUUUUUCCAGGUUGACCUCGGAUCAGGUAGGGAUACCCGCUGAACUUAAGCAUAUCAAAAGCGGAGGA
rnacentral:misc_RNA from 1 species